rnacentral:rRNA from 1 species
GACGAACGCUGGCGGCGUGCUUAACACAUGCAAGUCGAACGAAGUGGCGAACGGGAGAGUAACGCGUAAUCAACCUGCCCUUCAGAGGGGUACAACAGUUGGAAACGACUGCUAAUACCGCAUACUGAAGGAGGGGAUUGAGUUGGAUUAGCUAGUUGGCGGGGUAACGGCGCACCAAGGCGAUGAUCAGUAGCCGGCCUGAGAGGAUGAUCGGCCACACUGGGACUGAGACACGGCCCAGACUCCUACGGGAGGCAGCAGUAGGGAAUCUUCCGCAAUGGACGGAAGUCUGACGGAGCAACGCCGCGUGAGUGAUGACGGCCUUCGGGUUGUAAAGCUCUGUUAAUCGGGACGCGGUACCGGAAUAGAAAGCCACGGCUAACUACGUGCCAGCAGCCGCGGUAAUAC